rnacentral:rRNA from 1 species
CGAGAAAGCCCGCAAGGGUGAGUAAAGCGGCGCACGGGUGCGUAACACGUGGGUAAUCUGCCCUGAAGCCCGGAAUAACUCGCCGAAAGGCGUGCUAAUGCCGGAUAAGACCACGGGAGCUCCGGCUCCUGCGGGAAAAGGUGGCCUCUGUAUACAAGCUAUCACUUCAGGAUGAGCCCGCGGCCCAUCAGCUCGUUGGCGGGGUAAUGGCCCACCAAGGCUACGACGGGUAGCUGGUCUGAGAGGACGAUCAGCCACACUGGAACUGAGACACGGUCCAGACUCCUACGGGAGGCAGCAGUGGGGAAUCUUGCGCAAUGGGCGAAAGCCUGACGCAGCAACGCCGCGUGUGUGAUGAAGGUCUUCGGAUCGUAAAGCACUGUCGCGAGGGACG